UUUCUUCUUCUUCUGCUUCUUCCUCAGAUGAUGCUGAUGAUGCUGCUGCUUCUUCUUCUUCUGCUCUCCGAUCCGUGGUCCUCCUCAGCUCACGUAGCAGAAUGACCGGAGUCCAGCUAUGACCAGAGCAUCACAAACAUGAAGCUGGAUGAAGGGAGACUGAAUGAAAGCUUCAAAAAAUGCAUUUUGCUCUGCAUCGGUGGAGCAGCUGUUGCUCCUGCGUGGGUCUGGGAAAAACGAGAAGAGAGGAAGGAGCAACCAACAGCAGCACUCAUCAUCCUCAGGAAGCAUCCAAUUUCAUCCAGAGCCAGUUGAAACGUUGUGACUUAACCUACAAUGAAUUUGAUAAAAUCAGGAAUUUUACAAAGGUCAUUUUGAUUUAGUAAAGGUUGUGGGCUGGUUUGAAUUUUUAUUAAUAUCUUCAAAGCCAAAGCAGCACAAACAAAAACUUGUGGUGCACAAAUGUAGUCGAGUUGAUCAGCACCAAUUUAGUCUGAUUUGAAGAAGGUGCAGGGGGGAAGAGGAAACCC